GGGGCAAGCUUACCUGCAGUCGAACGGAGCUGUAUUGAACCUAGUGAUAUGCAGCUUAGUGGCGGACGGGUGAGUAACGCGUGGGCAACCUGCCGCAUACCGGGGGAUAACACUUAGAAAUAGGUGCUAAUUCCGCAUAAGCGCACAGAGCCGCAUGGCUUGGUGUGAAAAACUCCGGUGGUAUGCGAUGGGCCCGCGUCUGAUUAGCUGGUUGGCGGGGUGGAAGCCCACCAAGGCGACGAUCAGUAGCCGGCCUGAGAGGGCGGACGGCCACAUUGGGACUGAGACACGGCCCAGACUCCUACGGGAGGCAGCAGUGGGGGAUAUUGCACAAUGGGCGAAAGCCUGAUGCAGCAACGCCGCGUGAAGGAAGACGGUUUUCGGAUUGUAAACUUCUAUCAAUAGGGAAGAAAGAGAUGACGGUACCUAAAUAAGAAGCCCCGGCUAACUACGUGCCAGCAGCCGCGGUAAUACGUAGGGGGCAAGCGUUAUCCGGAAUUACUGGGUGUAAAGGGAGAGUAGGCGGCAAGGUAAGCGAUAUGUGAAAGCCUUAAGCUUAACUUAAGGAUGGCAUAACGAACUAUCUAGCUAGAGUACAGGAGAGGAAAGCGGAAUUCCUAGUGUAGCGGUGAAAUGCGUAGAUAUUAGGAAGAACACCAGUGGCGAAGGCGGCUUUCUGGACUGAAACUGACGCUGAGGCUCGAAAGCGUGGGGAGCGAACAGGAUUAGAUACCCUGGUAGUCCACGCUGUAAACGAUGAGUGCUAGGUGUCGGGGAGGAAUUCCCGGUGCCGGAGCAAACGCAAUAAGCACUCCACCUGGGGAGUACGACCGCAAGGUUGAAACUCAAAGGAAUUGACGGGGGCCCGCACAAGCGGUGGAGCAUGUGGUUUAUUUCGAA
rnacentral:rRNA from 1 species